rnacentral:rRNA from 4 species
UACGUAGGGUGCAAGCGUUAAUCGGAAUUACUGGGCGUAAAGCGUGCGCAGGCGGUUAUAUAAGACAGAUGUGAAAUCCCCGGGCUCAACCUGGGAACUGCAUUUGUGACUGUAUAGCUAGAGUACGGUAGAGGGGGAUGGAAUUCCGCGUGUAGCAGUGAAAUGCGUAGAUAUGCGGAGGAACACCGAUGGCGAAGGCAAUCCCCUGGACCUGUACUGACGCUCAUGCACGAAAGCGUGGGGAGCAAACAGG